UACGUAGGGGGCUAGCGUUGCUCGGAAUCACUGGGCGUAAAGGGUGCGUAGGCGGGUCUUUAAGUCAGGGGUCAAAUCCUGGAGCUCAACUCCAGAACUGCCUUUGAUACUGAGGAUCUUGAGUUCGGGAGAGGUGAGUGGAACUGCGAGUGUAGAGGUGAAAUUCGUAGAUAUUCGCAAGAACACCAGUGGCGAAGGCGGCUCACUGGCCCGAUACUGACGCUGAGACGCGAAAGCGUGGGGAGCAAACAGG
rnacentral:rRNA from 1 species